AAAAAAGGAAAAUAAUAAUCUGCCUCUGUUCUCUCUGGGCUGAAGUAGUAUUGGGUUAUCUGUUAAUUAAGUUGCCAUGGGAAGAGCUCCAUGUUGUGACAAAGCUAACGUGAAGAAAGGGCCUUGGUCUCCUGAGGAAGAUGCCACCCUCAAGAACUAUCUUCAGAAACAUGGCACUGGUGGCAAUUGGAUUUCCUUGCCUCGCAAAGCAGGCCUUAAACGAUGUGGCAAGAGUUGUCGUUUGAGAUGGUUGAAUUAUCUGAGACCAGACAUCAAGCAUGGAGGUUUUACCGAAGAAGAAGAUUACAUUAUCUGUACCCUCUACAAUAGCAUGGGAAGUAGGUGGUCUGUUAUAGCAUCGCAGCUGCCAGGAAGAACAGACAACGAUGUGAAGAAUUACUGGAACACCAAAUUAAAGAAAAAGAUGUUGGGAGGAAAGAUUACUGAUGCCAAGAGAAGCAGCAACAUCAAUAGCAGUAGUGAUAUAACCAUUAACAACUCCAGUGAUCCUUCGGAGCAAUUUUCAGUCUCCAUUCCAGAAACUGAAACCUACAAUAAUCCUGGAAAUUAUUCACCCUGCUUCAGCGCAAAUUGUGACACCUUGCCACCCCUCAUGGAGAUGGAGAUGAGUUUCCAGCAAUAUUAUCGUGAUCUACAAGGGCUAAUUUUGGACCAGACCCAAUUCCCUCAUUCAACUUUUAUGAAAGUUCCUGAUUUGGGCACAUAUGGAUAUAACAGUUACAACUGCUCCUCCUCCUCCUCAUCAU
rnacentral:misc_RNA from 1 species